rnacentral:misc_RNA from 1 species
UCCUGGUUAACCCAGGCAGUCUCACUAGAGUCCCCAUCCGAAAUGCUGGUAACUAAUGAUAAGGGUUUCGCUCGUUGCGGGACUUAACCCAACACCUCACGGCACGAGCUGACGACAGCCAUGCAGCACCUGUGAACUGGUCCGAAGAAGGCCACAUCUCUGUAGCUGUCCAGUCCAUGUCAAGCCUAGGUAAGGUUCUUCGCGUAGCGUCGAAUUAAACCACAUGCUCCACUGCUUGUGCGAGCCCCCGUCAAUUCUUUUAAGUUUCACCCUUGCGAGUGUACUCCUCAGGCGGUAUACUUAACACGUUAGCUCCGGCACAGCUGGGGUUGAGACCAGCUACGCCAAGUAUACAUCGUUUACAGCAAGGACUAC